GAUGCUUUACACAUGCAGUCGAACGCGAAAGUGGGGGCACCCUGCGAGUAGAGUGGCGAACGGGUGAGUACACAUCGGAACGUACCCAGGAGUGGGGGACAACCUCGAGAAAUCGAGGCUAAUACCGCAUACGUCCUGAGGGAGAAAGCGGGGGAUCUGCAAGGACCUCGCGCUCAUGGAGCGGCCGAUGUCGGAUUAGCUAGUUGGCGGGGUAAGAGCCCACCAAGGCUACGAUCCGUAGCUGGUUUGAGAGAACGACCAGCCACACUGGGACUGAGACACGGCCCAGACUCCUACGGGAGGCAGCAGUGGGGAAUUUUGGACAAUGGGGGCAACCCUGAUCCAGCCAUGCCGCGUGAGUGAAGAAGGCCUUCGGGUUGUAAAGCUCUUUCGGCCGGAACGAAAUCGGGGACGUGAAUACGUUUCUGGAUGACGGUACUGGAAGAAGAAGCACCGGCUAACUACGUGCCAGCAGCCGCGGUAAUACGUAGGGUGCGAGCGUAAUCGGAAUUACUGGGCGUAAGCGUGCGCAGGCAGGUUCUUGCAAGUCAGAUGUGAAAAUCCCCGGGGCUUUAAA
rnacentral:rRNA from 1 species